CCAAAAUAAGCUGUAGUUAAGAGUCUUCACAGCUGGCCACCUGUCCAUUCUGUCUAGUUGUUCAUGGUGCCACCACCACGAGGUGAGGCAAGGCAGAUGGGGGAAGGGGUAGAGCUACCCUAUGUGCCCUAUACCUGCUUACCUCAGGCCUCCUCAGCCAGACCUCCCAUGCCCCAACACCUGUCUCACCUCAUGGUGGCAGCACCAAUAGCCCCAUCCACCAGGAAACCAUGUUGCCACCCACUUCUGUGGCCAUUCACCGCUGCUCAUGUGCUUCCUCCCAACCUCCAUUUUGCCAGCAAAGGCCUUCAGGAAAAGGCCUCUGCAGCUGAGAAUGGAGCCUGGGGAUGACACACAACCCUGAAGGCCUCUACCAGCAAAACAGAGGCUGGGGAUGACACAUGAGAGCUGCAGCACGUGGCUGCAGAAGUGGACUGUUACCAUUAGCCAAUGGCCAGCAGAAGGCAGUAUGUGCUAAUUUUCCAUGAAUUAGAAUCUCUAGCUAGAUUCUUCCAGUCAAGUUGCAGGUCCUGCUCUUUGGAAUUCCAGACAAUAUGUCCAACAUCAGACUGGUGUUUCAUUUCUCUUCCAAGGAGCUUCUUCACCUAUGGGACAACCAUAACCUGGAUGAUUGAGAAUCUCCAUAGACAAGUUGUAAUUUUGAAAUGUUUCCAUGUUAUCAUGAAUUUAUCAGUUAAAAUCAUGACCUGACCUGUCUCUGAAAGUAUAAUGAUGAUGGUGGUAUGAAAUAAAAUAUGGCCUAUUGCCUUCUAUGCUUCUUCACAAUGUUUCUCUUAUACAAGUAAUACUGAUCAGAGGUUUUGAGCAGAGAGACAAUCUGAAGAUACAUUAUUACAGCUUCCACAUAUUGCAGACUUCAUGUACUUGGAUAGUUGACCUUUUAGUCCAAAACCUUUGUAAAGAACCAGAUAACCCAUGUAUGGUUUAGAGAAAUGUUGAAUCCAAGCCGUGCCAUUUCUG